GAUGAAGAACGUAGCGAAAUGCGAUAAGUAAUGCGAAUUGCAGAAUUUCCGUGAGUCAUCGAAUCUUUGAACGCACAUUGCGCCCAUUGGCAUUCCGAUGGGCAUGCCUGUUCGAGCGUCAUUAUCCUCCCUCAAACCCCUGGGUUUGGUGUUGGACUGUGUGGUGCCUGGCACCACUGGUCUCAAAGACAAUGACGGCGUCCGUGGGACCCUCGGUGCAACGAGCUUUUCGAAGCACGCGUCGAGUGGACAGUCUCUCCGGGCCGGUCACCUCUCCAAUUUUUCUCAGGUUGACCUCGGAUCAGGUAGGAAUACCCGCUGAACUUAAGCAUAUCAAUAAGCGGAGGA
rnacentral:misc_RNA from 1 species